rnacentral:rRNA from 1 species
GAUGAACGCUGGCGGCGUGCUUAACACAUGCAAGUCGAACGGAAAGGCUCCUGCUUGCAGGGGUACUCGAGUGGCGAACGGGUGAGUAACACGUCGGUGAUCUGCCCUGCACUUCGGGAUAAGCCUGGGAAACUGGGUCUAAUACCGGAUAGGACGAUGGUUUGGAUGCCAUUGUGGAAAGUUUUUCGGUGUGGGAUGAGCUCGCGGCCUAUCAGCUUGUUGGUGGGGUAAUGGCCUACCAAGGCGUCGACGGGUAGCCGGCCUGAGAGGGUGUACGGCCACAUUGGGACUGAGAUACGGCCCAGACUCCUACGGGAGGCAGCAGUGGGGAAUAUUGCACAAUGGGCGCAAGCCUGAUGCAGCGACGCCGCGUGGGGGAUGACGGCCUUCGGGUUGUAAACUCCUUUCGCUAGGGACGAAGCGCAAGUGACGGUACCUGGAGAAGAAGCACCGGCUAACUACGU